CGGCACGUAGCGCAGCCUGGUAGCGCACCGUCAUGGGGUGUCGGGGUCGGAGGUUCAAUCCUCUCGUGCCGACCA
rnacentral:tRNA from 1 species